AGCUCUCAACUACAGCUAGUUUUAUUCUAGCUGUAGCUUGGAUGUGGGGGUUAUCUUCUUUGCUGGCUUCAGAUAUAAUUGAAGUCGGCUCCCCUAAAAUGUAUUAGUGGUCUCUGAGCAGAGAAAACGGUGUGAUAAUUAUCUAUGCCUUAGUACUUUGCAUGAACUGCUUCAUAAUCUUAUGAUAAUGUUUGACAA
rnacentral:misc_RNA from 1 species